UUUGUCCUACGGGGCGCAGCAGUGGGGAAUAUUGCACAAUGGGGGGAACCCUGAUGCAGCAACGCCGCGUGGGUGAAGCAGUAUUUCGGUAUGUAAAGCCCUAUCAGCAGGGAAGAAGAUGACGGUACCUGACUAAGAAGCCCCGGCUAAAUACGUGCCAGCAGCCGCGGUAAUACGUAUGGGGCAAGCGUUAUCCGGAUUUACUGGGUGUAAAGGGAGCGCAGGCGGCGCGGCAAGUCAGAUGUGAAAGCCCGGGGCUCAACCCCGGGACUGCAUUUGAAACUGCCGUGCUGGAGUGUCGGAGG
rnacentral:rRNA from 1 species